AACUAUGGCUUUGAGGAGCACUGUAGGCACUUGAAGCAUCGGUGUUGGAGCCAUUGGAUGUUAUGGUGCUUCCAGAGGCCUGCUGGUUCACAGUUAAGGCAGGGACAGAGCUCAGCCAUUGGACACCAUGCUGUUUAUGCAAACCAUCAUAAAGAUUGGAAAGGCUGUGGGAUGACCCAUAGGCAGUUGCACUUUGGCUUUGGGAACCAGUGUAGGAACUUGAUAGACUGGAGGUGGAGGAACCAUUAGCUGCUGUGGGAUGACCCAUAGGCAGUUGCACUUUGGCUUUGGGAACCAGUGUAGGAACUUGAUAGACUGGAGGUGGAGGAACCAUUAGCUGUUGUGGCGGCUUCAGUUGUCUGCCGAUUUGUGUCCUUGAUGUGUUUGGAAACUACCAUAGGGACUGGAAAAUCCUUGAGACAGUCCAUAGACAGUUGAGCCUCGUCUUUGAGAACCACUGUAGUAGCUUGAAGUACUAGAUGUAGAACCAUUUAACGCUGCACUUGCAGAGACUUGUUGAAUCACAUUUAAUCCAGGC
ensembl:lncRNA